AACAGAGUGAACCACUAUAAAUUUUGUAUGUCCUCUUAUUCAAGCAUUAUUCUCACGUUUCUAAAAAUAUAACAAACACUUCACAGUAUUAAUUACACUUCUACAAUCAAAUUUAUAGCCGGUAACCCAACGGAAUACCAGAGGGUGAUCCGGCGUAUUUCUGUUGACGAACUUUCCCUUAACGUCUCUCUCCUCUGCCGACGAUGACUAGUGGAAUAACGACGUCGUUCCUCGUCGUCACUCCUUGUCGUCGCUCAAGCCGAUCGAUCUUCGCAGGAAUCCGAUCUAGAUCCAAAGCAGCCGAAGAGGAGAUCGAUUCCCCUCGUGAUUCGUGCAAAAAGAAGAACGGUCUGUCGCCGACAAGAUCCAGAUUAAGAACCACGGCGACGUGAUCUGUAGAAUCCAGCGGUGGGUCUCCGACGCUGUCAUGGUUCAAGAUCUGGAUCUGUGUCCUCGUCCUUCAGAGUCACCGUCGCCAUGGAUGGCACCGGAAAGUUUUUUGUUGGCGCAAACUGGAAGUGUAAUGGCGCAAAAUAAUCCAUCACCAAGCUUGUCUCUGACUUGAAUAGUGCGAAAUUGGAGAGUGAUGUUAGUAAGCUUGAUGUUUUAUGUACAACUCUAUUGCUAUUAGUAAUGUAGUAAUAGACUGCACCUUAAGCUUGUUCUUAGAUUUUGUUUAAUUUGUGAGAUCUCUACAUGGUCUGUGCUUAAGAAUUGUUCUUCAUGAAUAAUUAGAAAACUAAG